UACGAAGGGGGCUAGCGUUGCUCGGAAUCACUGGGCGUAAAGGGUGCGUAGGCGGGUUUUUAAGUCAGGGGUGAAAUCCUGGAGCUCAACUCCAGAACUGCCUCCGAUACUGAGAGUCUCCGAGUCCGGGAGAGGUGAGUGGAACUGCGAGUGUAGAGGUGAAAUUCGUAGAUAUUCGCAAGAACACCAGUGGCGAAGGCGGCUCACUGGCCCGGUACUGACGCUGAGGUGCGAAAGCGUGGGGAGCAAACAGG
rnacentral:rRNA from 1 species